CUUACACAUGCAAGUCGAACGGUAACAGGUCUUCGGAUGCUGACGAGUGGCGAACGGGUGAGUAAUACAUCGGAACGUGCCCAGUAAUGGGGGAUAGCUCGGCGAAAGCCGGAUUAAUACCGCAUACGCCCUGAGGGGGAAAGUGGGGGAUCGCAAGACCUCACGUUAUUGGAGCGGCCGAUGGCUGAUUAGCUAGUUGGUAGGGUAAAGGCCUACCAAGGCGACGAUCAGUAGCUGGUCUGAGAGGACGAUCAGCCACACUGGGACUGAGACACGGCCCAGACUCCUACGGGAGGCAGCAGUGGGGAAUUUUGGACAAUGGGGGAAACCCUGAUCCAGCAAUGCCGCGUGUGCCGAAGAAGGCCUUCGGGUUGUAAAAGCACUUUUUGUCAGGGAAGAAAUCCUUUGGGCUAAUACCCUAGGGGGAUGACGGUACCCUGAAGAAUAAGCACCGGCUAACUACGUGCCAGCAGCCGCGGUAAUACGUAGGGGUGCAAAGCGUUAAUCGGAAUUACUGGGCGUA
rnacentral:rRNA from 1 species